rnacentral:rRNA from 1 species
CGACGUGAGUAACCUGCCUUGGAGUGGGGAAUAACACAUCGAAAGAUGUGCUAAUACCGCAUAAUGCAGUUGGGCCGCAUGGCUCUGGCUGCCAAAGAUUUAUCGCUCUGAGAUGGACUCGCGUCUGAUUAGCUGGUUGGCGGGGUAACGGCCCACCAAGGCGACGAUCAGUAGCCGGACUGAGAGGUUGACCGGCCACAUUGGGACUGAGACACGGCCCAGACUCCUACGGGAGGCAGCAG